GUCCCUUCGGAGGGACAUAAAAUUGGAACGAUAGAGAGAAGAUUAGCAUGGCCCCUGCGCAAGGAUGACACACACACAAAUCGAGAAAUGAUACAUAUAAAU
rnacentral:snRNA from 1 species